CCUACGGGAGGCAGCAGUGAGGAAUAUUGGUCAAUGGGCGGGAGCCUGAACCAGCCAAGCCGCGUGAGGGAAGAAGGUACAGCGUAUCGUAAACUUCUUUUGUCAGGGCACAAAGGCGGGGACUACUCCCCGGAUGAGGGUACCUGAAGAACAAGCAUCGGCUAACUCCGUGCCAGCAGCAGCGGUAAUACGGGGGAUGCGAGCGGUAUCCGGGUUUAUUGGGUUUAAGGGGUGCGCAGGCGGCCUGUUAAGUGAGCGGUACAAGCCCGGGGCUAAACCCCGGCGAGCCGUUGAAACUGGCGGGCUGGAGUUGGAGAGAGGUACGCGGAAUGUGUGGUGUAGCGGUGAAAUGCUUAGAUAUCGCGCAGAACCCCGGUUGCGAAGGCGGCGUACUGGCUCCACACUGACGCUGAGGCGCGAAAGCGUGGGUAUCGAACAGGAUUAGAUACCCGUGUAGUC
rnacentral:rRNA from 1 species